CAUCAAGUUAAAAUUUAUUAGAAAUGUUUGCUUGCCUUGCAGAACACUUGCAGGACAAGUUACUCACAAUCCAAGGUUUUGCUGAUACCACUAAAAUGACAUUAGGAACACUCCUUGGAGAAUGAAAAGAAGUAGAGGAUAUGAACAUAGAGUAAAUAUAAUAAGAAAGUGAGGAAAACAUUUCAGAUGGAAAAAAUAAUAGUCUUAGCAGGAAGCUUCCUAAAUGGCACAAUCACUGAUCAAACUUGAAAAGUUGAAGAACCUGGACGAAGAUCUGAGAAGUCAGAUUUUUCAAAGUCAAAUUUCAUAACCCUCUGGGAUAAAAUUUAGGGAACAAAUUCUAGAAAAAAAGUGACUAAGAAAAAAACCUCCCUAAACUCCACACAAAAAGGCCUCAUGACUUCAUGACUUUUCUAUGAAGAAAAGCAACAUAAUUAAGGAACGAGAAUCUUGCCCACCUUCCAUCCUGAAUACCCAUGCAAACUUGCUAAUCUCAAUGACAGUCACUGAUGUAUGCUCCUUUUUCUUUCUCCCUUUUGUAUCGUCUGGCCCUGUAUUUGGAUUACUACUGGCCCUCCUCUGUAUUGGUUUUAUGUUACAAAGUUCAUGAAAUCAACUUCCCCUUUUCCCCUUUGUUCUUAGGGCCAUCACAGGGGGACCUCCAACAAGACCCCUAUGUUCCUCAGAGGCUCCUCCUCCUACCCAUCCCGUCCCCACCAUCAUCAGGGAUCACUGUAACAUAAAUGCUCACCUUUCCAAUUCUCUUGUUUCACAAAUAUUGCUUCCUCCAAGAAGCCUUCUAACAUGCUUCCAGGCAGAAAUCAUUGUUCCACCAUCCAAGCUCUCACAUUUCAUCUGGUCUAGUCUUACAACAUAUAAAACUUUCUGCCUUGUACUUCGGUUCUGCUUUUGCACAUCUUAUUUCCAGAGCCCUCGGGAGACAAAGGCUAUGCCUGAUUUCCCUCACUAUUUACCACAGCAAUCGGUACAGCACUUUACAUACCCCAGUGCUUCAAAAUGCUUUAACUUGGGAUCAGUAUUCCUGGAAGCAAAGAUUAAGUCAAAAGAAUAACACAGUUUCUUCAAAGUUGAAAACUUUGAGGCUGGAUUUAGUUAGCAAGAGCUCUGACCUCAAAACAUGAUUAUGCACAAGGGCAUCAUAUCAACACCAGGAUGUCCUUUUGUUCUUGUUUUAUGGUGAUUUACUAGCAGAAGGUACUUUCAGAUGUGGUCAGCACUAUUUUCACAGGUUUAAGGCAUGUCUUGACUAUCUUCAAAAAAUCUGUAUUAGAGUUUUAAUGAAGUCAUGGUUGUCAAGACACUGGCAAGAAGAAGCAUUACUUCCCAAGCUGACAGCAGAAAGAAAAAGUACCUCUGCUGCUGCUUUUAUUUUGUUUGUCCACGUCUGUCCACAGACAGAUUUGCAGCAGUAUCUUUACAUUUUCCCCCGAUUUUUUAACUCAUCUUUAAAUUUUAUUUUUUAAAAAUUUACUACACCAAAGUGAAAGGCAUAAAGUAAAAACAAAUCAUAAUCAAAAUGAUGUAAAGCAAAUAAUCAGCACUGAACUGGUGAAAUUUAUAUAGAAAAUUGAGAUAAAAAUGGAGAUGAACUACAAAAAGCUAUUACAAAGAAAUAUUUUUUAAAUUUAAAAACACUUCUGAUGUUUUUUUUUUUUUUCCACUUCCUACUUUAUUCCAAGCCCGCGUCCUUGGAUAUUCUUUGUAGAAGAUCAACUAAAUCACACAGGAGAAAUGGAGCCAAAAAAAUCAGGAAAGACUUGACAUAUGUAUGAUUUUCGACUUAUGCAAAUCAGAUACAAAAUGUGAAAAUGAUCAAGGACGAUGCCAAACCUUGCCUCUUUCCCCCGGAUAUGCACACUGGCUGCCUAUAUAUCUGAGAAAGGAGGCAGAGUGGGAGAUGUACCCAACCAUGCACACCUGGCAUAAGCGGGGACACACAACUAAGGUAUAAACUUUCAGUAUGCAACAAUCUGGCCAAAAGAAUGAAAUCGAAUAAGCAUUUUCAAGAUCUGCUAAAGAAGCAGCUCCAACAACAACAUUUCCAAAUCCUGAGCUGCAGGUAGGAGAAUGACUUUCAUCAGAAAUGACAGGAGCCAGCUGCUCCAGAAAAGAUGUGAGCAGGGUGAUGAGUGUACGUUAAAGAGGGCACCACACACUGAAGGGCUUCCCAACUGCUGUAAACACAAACAGAGAAGGGGACCCAUCUUCAUUCAAAGGCAACAUGUGACACAUGCUAAACUUCUGAACACAGCCAAAUUCUUUUCCUCACUUCAUCUCCUCUAGGCUCUUAUCACCGCAAGCCAGAGAAACUCUUUGAAGUCUUUUAUUUUUGUUGCAAACCUACUUUCACAGUCAAACAUUUUUCAUCAAGCUAUUGGAGGGGAGAAAAAAAAAAAGCUUGCUUUUUUUUUUUUUACUCAUUAAGAAAGAACAAAUAGUUGUGAACUUAAAAAUUCUCCUCAUUUUUUAAAAAAUCUGGCUUUUUCAUAAAUAUUUGUUGCAAUUGCACAAUGUUUAUGCUCAAGAGAGUCACUUAGGAAAGAACAGCACAUUCUUUGGUGUUCCAGAACAUGACACCAGGUAAGAGAAGAUCUUUGAAGAAAAAAAAAA